ACAGGUGUAAUGGGAAAAACAACUGCACUGUGAGAGCAAGCAGCUCAGUGUUGGGCGACUCCUGUGAUGGUACUUACAAGUACCUGGAGCUGGCUUACACAUGUCAGAAUCCUGUUGCUGCGUAAAAGGAGGAAAUAGUAUAGAUACACUGAAUAAAAUACAUUUGAUUAACUUUG